CGCACCUUGCACUCUCUGGUAUUCCGGAGAGUAUGCCUGUUCGAGUGUCGUGAAGUACUCAACUUGCAGCUUUGUUGCUUGCAAGCUUGGAAUUGGGACCUGUCGGCGCAAGUCGACUGUCCUGAAAUGCAUUAGCCCUGAAUGCGAUCGUCGCAACUAAGCGUGAUAAUCUUUGUCUUCGCUGAAAGUGUUCGUUCGGAGGGGCUCAUAGAAACCCCUUACCUUUUCACCUUUGACCUCGAAUCAGGUAGGAUUACCCGCUGAACUUAA
rnacentral:misc_RNA from 1 species